rnacentral:rRNA from 1 species
GUUGUAUGGUUAAGUGACUAAGCGUACACGGUGGAUGCCUUGGCAGUCAGAGGCGAUGAAGGACGUAUUAACUUGCGAUAAGCCCAGAUUAGGUAGUAAAAACCAUUUGAGUCUGGGAUUUCCGAAUGGGGAAACCCACUUACAUAAGUAAGUAUCGCUGCGUGAAUACAUAGCGCAGCGAGGCGAACCGGGGGAACUGAAACAUCUAAGUACCCCGAGGAAAAGAAAUCAACCGAGAUUCCGAAAGUAGCGGCGAGCGAAAUUGGACUAGCCCUUAAGCUUUUUAUGCGUCAGGUGAAACUUCUGGAAAGUUGUGCGAUACAGGGUGAUAGCCCCGUAACCGGCAACGCAUAUAAAGUGAAAUCGAGUAGGGCGGGACACGUGAUAUCCUGUCUGAAUAUGGGGGGACCAUCCUCCAAGGCUAAAUACUACUGACUGACCGAUAGUGAACCAGUACCGUGAGGGAAAGGCGAAAAGAACCCCUGUGAGGGGAGUGAAAUAGAACCUGAAACCGUGUACGUACAAGCAGUAGGAGCACCUUCGUGGUGUGACUGCGUACCUUUUGUAUAAUGGGUCAGCGACUUAUAUUCAGUGGCAAGGUUAACCAUCUAGGGGAGCCGUAGCGAAAGCGAGUGUUAACUGCGCGACUCAGUCGCUGGAUAUAGACCCGAAACCAGGUGAUCUAGCCAUGGGCAGGUUGAAGAUUGAGUAACAUCAAUUGGAGGACCGAACCGACUAAUGUUGAAAAAUUAGCGGAUGACUUGUGGCUAGGGGUGAAAGGCCAAUCAAACCUGGAGAUAGCUGGUUCUCCCCGAAAGCUAUUUAGGUAGCGCCUCGGACGAAUACUACUGGGGGUAGAGCACUGUUAAGGCUAGGGGGUCAUCCCGACUUACCAACCCUUUGCAAACUCCGAAUACCAGUAAGUACUAUCCGGGAGACACACGGCGGGUGCUAACGUCCGUCGUGGAGAGGGAAACAACCCAGACCGCCAGCUAAGGUCCCAAAUUACUACUAAGUGGGAAACGAUGUGGGAAGGCUCAGACAGCCAGGAUGUUGGCUUAGAAGCAGCCAUCAUUUAAAGAAAGCGUAAUAGCUCACUGGUCGAGUCGGCCUGCGCGGAAGAUGUAACGGGGCUAAGUAGUAAACCGAAGCUGCGGCAAUGCACUUUGUGCAUUGGGUAGGGGAGCGUUCUGUAAGCGGUUGAAGGUGUGUGGUAACGCAUGCUGGACGUAUCAGAAGUGCGAAUGCUGACAUGAGUAACGAUAAAGGGGGUGAAAAACCUCCUCGCCGGAAGACCAAGGGUUCCUGUCCAACGUUAAUCGGGGCAGGGUAAGUCGACCCCUAAGGCGAGGCCGAAAGGCGUAGUCGAUGGGAAACGGGUUAAUAUUCCCGUACUUCUUACAAUUGCGAUGGGGGGACGGAGAAGGCUAGGUGGGCCUGGCGACGGUUGUCCAGGUUCAAGUGCGUAGGCUGAGAGAUUAGGUAAAUCCGGUUUCUCUUAAGGCUGAGACACGACGUCGAGCUACUACGGUAGUGAAGUCAUUGAUGCCAUGCUUCCAGGAAAAGCCUCUAAGCUUCAGAUUGUAAGGAAUCGUACCCCAAACCGACACAGGUGGUCGGGUAGAGAAUACCAAGGCGCUUGAGAGAACUCGGGUGAAGGAACUAGGCAAAAUGGUACCGUAACUUCGGGAGAAGGUACGCUCUUGAUGGUGAAGUCCCUUGCGGAUGGAGCUGACGAGAGUCGCAGAUACCAGGUGGCUGCAACUGUUUAUUAAAAACACAGCACUGUGCAAAAUCGUAAGAUGACGUAUACGGUGUGACGCCUGCCCGGUGCCGGAAGGUUAAUUGAUGGGGUUAGACUUCGGUCGAAGCUCUUGAUCGAAGCCCCGGUAAACGGCGGCCGUAACUAUAACGGUCCUAAGGUAGCGAAAUUCCUUGUCGGGUAAGUUCCGACCUGCACGAAUGGCGUAAUGAUGGCCACGCUGUCUCCACCCGAGACUCAGUGAAAUUGAAAUCGCUGUGAAGAUGCAGUGUACCCGCGGCUAGACGGAAAGACCCCGUGAACCUUUACUACAGCUUGGCACUGAACAUUGACCCUACAUGUGUAGGAUAGGUGGGAGGCUUUGAAGCAAGUACGCCAGUAUUUGUGGAGCCGUCCUUGAAAUACCACCCUUGUAGUGUUGAUGUUCUAACGU